AGACCCGAAACCCGGUGAUCUAGCCAUGGGCAGGUUGAAGGUUGGGUAACACUAACUGGAGGACCGAACCGACUAAUGUUGAAAAAUUAGCGGAUGACCUGUGGCUGGGGGUGAAAGGCCAAUCAAACCGGGAGAUAGCUGGUUCUCCCCGAAAGCUAUUUAGGUAGCGCCUCGUGAAUUCAUCUCCGGGGGUAGAGCACUGUUUCGGCUAGGGGGCCAUCCCGGCUUACCAACCCGAUGCAAACUGCGAAUACCGGAGAAUGUUAUCACGGGAGACACACGGCGGGUGCUAACGUCCGUCGUGAAGAGGGAAACAACCCAGACCGCCAGCUAAGGUCCCAAAGUCAUGGUUAAGUGGGAAACGAUGUGGGAAGGCCCAGACAGCCAGGAUGUUGGCUUAGAAGCAGCCAUCAUUUAAAGAAAGCGUAAUAGCUCACUGGUCGAGUCGGCCUGCGCGGAAGAUGUAACGGGGCUAAACCAUGCACCGAAGCUGCGGCAGCGACACUGUGUGUUGUUGGGUAGGGGAGCGUUCUGUAAGCCUGUGAAGGUGGCCUGUGAGGG
rnacentral:rRNA from 4 species